AUACUUAACCCUGCAGGGGAGAUACUGUGGUCAUGAAGGUAGUUUUCCCAGGUCUGGGCUUACCCAUUGCAGUGUGGAUGCACUGACCCCCUGAGAUUUCCCCAAAUGUCGGAAACUGGACUGCUUAAUUUGUGGCAGUGGGGAGACUGCCUUUGCACUCUCCCCUG